CUUCACCCGGAAACAAACCCCACCGAGCAGCGGAAGUGACGUGGGCGUGAAGCCGAGGGCGGGAAAAGCUGAGAAGAAAAUGGUUCAAAUCCCCGUCCAGCUGCCCCGUCCCGGAGAUGGUUCUGGCUCCGAGUGGCUGAUGCUGGAACUUCAGGGAGAAAUCGAGUCCCGGGGCCACAGCGGCCUCCCUGGAAACCUGAUGGGCGACCUGCACUUCAGCAGAGAGGGAGUCCCAAUACUGAUAAUUGGCCACCACAUCCUGUAUGGUAAAGUCAGCCGUCUGGAAAGGCCAUUUGCGGUACUAGUAAAAAAGGCCACCACAAGGGCAGGAGCUGAGAGUCCGAUGGAAAUCGAGAAAGCUGAGCAAGGAGUGAGUGAAGAAAGUGUUUCAUGUCGCUACCUAAUCACCGCACUCAUCAAGAGAAAAAUCAUCUUCAAAACCCGUCCAAAGCCUAUUAUUACGAAUGUGCCUAAAAAGCUAUAGUGGGACUGUGCCCACCGACAGGACUCUUCUGAACAGCAGAUCUGCAUAUCGUCAGAUGCUGCCUGGCCUGCUGAUGGUUUCUGUAACAGUUCACACUUGAUAACAAUGACUCUAACACAUGGACUGGAAACACCAACAGUAAGGUUCAGGUAUUAAAUCUUUAUUUUGAUAAAAGUUCAUAUAAAACAUCAGAAUUUAAAACCCCAAAGUGAUUGUAAAAAAUAA